GGCAGGGAUCAGAAUAAGGGAGAGACCAGAGAAGAGUAGGACAAGUCAGAGAAAGGAAGAGACCAGAGUAGGACAACUCAGAGAAGAGUAGGACAAGUCAGAGAAAGGAAGAGACCAGAGUAGGACAGCUCAGAGACAAGUCAGAGAAAGGAAGAGACCAGAGUAGGACAACUCAGAGAAAAGGAGAGACCAGAGAAGAGUAGGACAAGUCAGAGAAAGGAAGAGACCAGAGUAGGACAACUCAGAGAAAAGUAGGACAAGUCAGAGAAAGGAAGAGACCAGAGUAGGACAACUCAGAGAAAAGUAGGACAAGUCAGAGAAAGGAAGAGACCAGAGUAGGACAACUCAGA